UACGUAGGGGGCAAGCGUUGUCCGGAAUCAUUGGGCGUAAAGCGCGUGUAGGCGGUUCGGUAAGUCUGCUGUAAAAGUCAAAGGCUCAACCUUUGAAUGUCAGUGGAUACUGCCGGGCUAGAGUCCGGAAGAGGCGAGUGGAACUCCUGGUGUAGCGGUGGAAUGCGCAGAUAUCAGGAGGAACACCUGUGGUGUAGACGGCUCUCUGGACAGUAACUGACGCUGAGACACGAAAGCGUGGGUAGCAAACAGG
rnacentral:rRNA from 1 species